rnacentral:rRNA from 1 species
ACGCUCGACACCUACGGGAGGCAGCAGGUGGGGAAUAUUGGGCAAUGGGCGCAAGCCUGACCCAGCAACGCCGCGUGAGUGAUGAAGGUCUUCGGAUUGUAAAACUCUUUAAGCAGGGAAGAAGAAAGUGACGGUACCUGCAGAAUAAGCAUCGGCUAACUACGUGCCAGCAGCCACGGUAAUCUGAGCGGGCUGGCAAGGC